rnacentral:rRNA from 1 species
GACGAACGCUGGCGGCGUGCUUAACACAUGCAAGUCGAACGAUGAACCCGGAGCUUGCUCCGGUGGAUUAGUGGCGAACGGGUGAGUAACACGUGAGUUACCUGCCCCGUUGACCGGGAUAGCCCGAGGAAACUCGGAUUAAUACCGGAUGAGAUCACCAUCGGUGAGGAAAGGAAGCGAAAGCCUCCGCGACGGGAUGGGCUUGCGGAUGAUUAGUUAGUUGGUGGGGUAACGGCUUACCAAGGCGACGAUCAUUAGCUGGUCUGAGAGGACGAUCGUCCACACUGGGACGGAGACACGGCCCAGACUCCUACGGGAGGCUGCAGUGGGGAAUCUUGCGCAAUGCGCGAAAGCGUGACGCAGCAACGCCGCGUGAGGGAAGAAGGCCUUCGGGUUGUAAACCUCUUUUAGGGAGGAGUAAGGAUCGUGAGUUAAUAGCUCUUUGAUUUGAAAGUACUCCCAGAAAAAGUCCCGGCUAAC